rnacentral:tRNA from 1 species
AGCGCAGUGGAUAGAGCGUCUGUUUUCGGAGCAGAAAGUCACAGGUUCGAACCCUGU